rnacentral:rRNA from 1 species
GACAUAGGUGCCAAGCGUUAGGCGGAAUCACUGGGCUUAAAGCGCGUGUAGGUGGCGGCCUAAGUCCCUUGUGAAAUCCUGCGGCUCAACCGCAGAACUGCUUGGUAUACUGGGUCGCUUGAGCCAUCCAGGGGCAACUGGAACAAGCGGUGGAGCGGUGAAAUGCGUAGAUAUCGCUUGGAACGCCAAAGGUGAAAACAGGUUGCUGGGGAUGCGCUGACACUGAGACGCGAAAGCCGGGGGAGCGAACGGG